rnacentral:rRNA from 1 species
CGUAGGUGGGCAGGUAAGUCAGUGGUGAAAUCUCCGGGCUUAACCCGGAAACUGCCAUUGAUACUAUCUGUCUUGAAUACCGUGGAGGUGAGCGGAAUAUGUCAUGUAGCGGUGAAAUGCUUAGAUAUGACAUAGAACACCAAUUGCGAAGGCAGCUCACUACGCGAAUAUUGACACUGAGGCACGAAAGCGUGGGGAUCAAACA